AUGCAUUUAGAGGCUCUGCAAUCUGGGAGCAUCUUCACACCCUUCUCCAUCCUUAUUGAUCGUGUACCAGUGAAGACCUGCCAAAAGGAACUGAUUGUACCAGUCGGCAUCAAGGCAAGGAGACGUUUGGUUGACUGGCCCAGCCAGCCACCGCCCUGCUUCAUCAGAGACCAAGGACCAGUCAGAGAAGAACAAGACGUCUGGCUGAUGCAGCUGGGUCAGGGGUGCCCUCAGGCAUUCGCAGGGAGCACGAUGUGAGCUGGGAUGGUUUGGCAAUGGCCAGAGAAGGGACCAGGCCUCAGCGAAAGCUGAGAACUGCAAGUACCACCAGCCUUGCAAUAAAAUCAGGAGAGCUGCGACA
rnacentral:lncRNA from 1 species